rnacentral:rRNA from 1 species
GCAAUGGCGCAGCUACCAUGCAGUCGAGCGGAACGAGUUAUCUGAACCUUCGGGGAAUGUGAACGGCGUCGAGCGGCGGACGGGUGAGUAAUGCCUGGGAAAUUGCCCUGAUGUGGGGGAUAACCAUUGGAAACGAUGGCUAAUACCGCAUAAUAGCUUCGGCUCAAAGAGGGGGACCUUCGGGCCUCUCGCGUCAGGAUAUGCCCAGGUGGGAUUAGCUAGUUGGUGAGGUAAGGGCUCACCAAGGCAACGAUCCCUAGCUGGUCUGAGAGGAUGAUCAGCCACACUGGAACUGAGACACGGUCCAGACUCCUACGGGAGGCAGCAGUGGGGAAUAUUGCACAAUGGGCGCAAGCCUGAUGCAGCCAUGCCGCGUGUAUGAAGAAGGCCUUCGGGUUGUAAAGUACUUUCAGCAGUGAGGAAGGUUCAUACGUUAAUAGCGUAUGGAUUUGACGUUAGCUGCAGAAGAAGCACCGGCUAACUCCGUGCCAGCAGCCGCGGUAAUACGGAGGGUGCGAGCGUUAAUCGGAAUUACUGGGCGUAAAGCGCAUGCAGGUGGUUUGUUAAGUCAGAUGUGAAAGCCCGGGGCUCAACCUCGGAAUUGCAUUUGAAACUGGCAGACUAGAGUACUGUAGAGGGGGGUAGAAUUUCAGGUGUAGCGGUGAAAUGCGUAGAGAUCUGAAGGAAUACCGGUGGCGAAGGCGGCCCCCUGGACAGAUACUGACACUCAGAUGCGAAAGCGUGGGGAGCAAACAGGAUUAGAUACCCUGGUAGUCCACGCCGUAAACGAUGUCUACUUGGAGGUUGUGGCCUUGAGCCGUGGCUUUCGGAGCUAACGCGUUAAGUAGACCGCCUGGGGAGUACGGUCGCAAGAUUAAAACUCAAAUGAAUUGACGGGGGCCCGCACAAGCGGUGGAGCAUGUGGUUUAAUUCGAUGCAACGCGAAGAACCUUACCUACUCUUGACAUCCAGAGAACUUUCCAGAGAUGGAUUGGUGCCUUCGGGAACUCUGAGACAGUGCUGCAUGGCUGUCGUCAGCUCGUGUUGUGAAAUGUUGGGUUAGUCCCGCACGAGCGCACCCUUAUCCUUUGUUUGCCAGCACUUCAGGUG